AAACUGGAUUUGACCAUGCUCUAGAGGAUUUGAGCACCAGUGUAGGUUUGACCAAAAGACCAUCCAGCUGGAGCAACAUUAUUGGAAACAACAGUACGACCAUCACUAGUUGUAACCUUAAAAGACAAACUUUGACCAUUGAGAUAAUUGUUGCUCUGCCAGUUUUGUCCCCAGUUUCUUGACAUAGAUAUCCAACCAGUUUUUGACCCUUUGAUGGAUGCAGCAUGUACAUCUCCAGCACCACCAACAUUUGUGAUAAGAACUAGGUUAAAAUAAGAAUGUCCAUUGAUAGUGAACCUUAUACCUCCCUUUCUCCUACAUGACACCCUACACAAAACCAAGACACAAAUUAGUAUAUACCAAAUACAAAAAAAAAAAAAAAAAAAAAAAAAAUUGAAAAUUUAUAUAAAAAAACGUAGAUGCUUGACAAAAGCAACCUACCUUCUAAAAUCAACAGGAACAAUUCCAGCUUUGUAUUGAGCAAUUCGAAGAAACACAGGUUGAGCAAGAUCAAAAUGUUGGAGAGGAGGGUUACACCAACCACCAUCAUUGUUUGGUAAGGCAUUGUUUGGUGGACAG
rnacentral:lncRNA from 1 species